rnacentral:rRNA from 1 species
CCUGGCUUAGGACGAACGCUGGCGGCGUGCUUAACACAUGCAAGUCGAACGGGGAUCAUCGGGCGGAAGGCUUCGGCCGGAAGGCUGGUGAUUCCAGUGGCGGACGGGUGAGUAACGCGUGAACAAUCUGUCCCAGACAGGGGGAUAACACUUGGAAACAGGUGCUAAUACCGCAUGAGACCACGGUGUCGCAUGGCACAGAGGUAAAAGGAGUAAUCCGGUUUGGGGUGAGUUCGCGUCCGAUUAGCCAGUUGGCGGGGUAACGGCCCACCAAAGCGACGAUCGGUAGCCGACCUGAGAGGGUGAUCGGCCACAUUGGAACUGAGAGACGGUCCAAACUCCUACGGGAGGCAGCAGUGGGGAAUAUUGGGCAAUGGGCGAAAGCCUGACCCAGCAACGCCGCGUGAGUGAAGAAGGCCUUCGGGUUGUAAAGCUCUGUUAUAGGGGACGAAGUGCGUGACGGUACCCUAUAAGGAAGCCCCGGCUAACUACGUGCCAGCAGCGGC